UUGCCGUCCAGUUCUGAAAAUAGGGAAAUUUGUUCCACACAUUUUUCUCUGCCGUUGAAACAAAACAGUGACUGAGUGAUGUACGAAGAAGAAAUUUGGUGUCAAUUGCCAUUCCUUAUUUUUAAAAAAUCUGGUGAAUCAUAAUUCAUUCCAUGAGAAGCAGAAAUCCAACAGACUGAUCCCAGUCAAUGGUGUACUCAAAAUACACAGAGGCUAGAGGACUUGUUCUUCCUGGAACCUUUCUAUGCACCAGCCUGUCUCAUGAAGUUAAAUGCUCAAACAAUAUGAAGAGGAUGAAAAUCUAGCUGACAAUCAAAACAGGAAAUAUGAUCAGGCUCAGCCACAUCUUAAUGACCAUAAAGAGCUACUUCAUUCAAGGCCAUGAUAUGUUAUAACAGCUGAUUCAAUGAAAGAGGUUAUUGAACAAUCUCUGAAAACUGUCAAGUAAAGAGUCAGAGCAAUUGUAGAUACAUGCACAGA